UCAGUAUAUGAGAUUCCUAGGAUAUAUGC
rnacentral:piRNA from 1 species